GAGCUGGGUUCAAACCGUCAAAAAUGAACCUUAAAUAUCGAGUAAAAUCACACGGCGGCUUUCUCGCGUAAGCGAGAUCGAAAAAACCGACUCAUAUCGGUGAAGUCCUAAUAUAUAAUGUAGACAACCUGCCCGCUUCGCCGAAGUUUUCAGCGAGGCGAGUCAUGUGUUAGGAUAAUACCGAGGGAAGUUGAACUACUUAAAAAAGAAUGCUUAAGAAAUUUGAGGCGAUUAAAGUUAUUGCAGCAUUAAUCAUUAUAGUAUUGAUUAUACUUUUAGUUGUAAAAAUUAAAGUAAAUUCAGUCCAAGAGGGAAAGAAUUUACUUGACCUCUGGUAGUUUUAACCCCGUAGAGACUUGCUACUUUAAGUAGCGGAGUCAUCCAUUUUUUGGAUGGCUAAAACGUCGGUCCCCCGCAGUUGCGGGGUGAUGGUAUAGUCCGAUCCAUUUGGUAACAGAUGA
rnacentral:autocatalytically_spliced_intron from 1 species